GCCCCCGUAGCUCAGGGGAUAGAGCAACGGUUUCCUAAACCGCAGGUCGCAGGUUCGAAUCCUGCCGGGGGCACCA
rnacentral:tRNA from 1 species